UACGAAGGGUGCAAACGUUGCUCGGAAUUAUUGGGCGUAAAGCGCACGUAGGCGGCAUUGCAAGUCGGAUGUGAAAUCCCAUGGCUUAACCAUGGAGGUGCAUCCGAAACUGCAGUGCUUGAGUACUUAAGAGGAUCGCGGAAUUCCCGGUGUAGAGGUGAAAUUCGUAGAUAUCAGGAAGAACACCCGUGGCGAAGGCGGCUCUCUGGGACGGUACUGACGCUGAGACGCGAAAGCGUGGGGAGCGAACAGG
rnacentral:rRNA from 1 species